UAUUCAGUGAAAGCAUUGCUCGUUGGUGCUUCUUCACUUGUGAAGGUCACAGGUGGGACGGAGGAGUUCAUGAUGACUCCCAGAGGUGGAGAUCCAUGGCCAUCUAGGAUUUCCUAAAGUGGACAUUUGUGCAGAUCCCUGGGGUGCCAGUUGAGUGAACUGGUGCUCUAGGGUGAGCCUGGGGUGGGGUCUUGCGACGAGGUAAGGGCUUGAGGCAGGAGAGGUCACUGAGUAGAGCUGCUAGGUGGCGCCCAGCUCUGCCCUGGUUCCUGCAGGUGUCACUCUGGUAGGGGGCAGGUGGAAGGCCUCUGUUUUUUCCAACUAUUCUACUGCAAGCUUGAGGCUGGCAGCGUCUGGGAAGCUGGAGCUGAGCUGGUCUGACAUACCUUUUUGUGGUGACAUGUACUUGAAAACUGGGCAGUGGACUUGAGCUCUCUGCCAAUAUAGUCUACUGUGAGAGUGUUUUCAACUCUUUGAACUCCAUCUCUGGUAUGGCCGUCUACUAGAGUUUGAUUCCAGGAGACCUGCUUUGUGUUCUUGUUGGAGCAGACUCCGGGGUGCCUGAAUUCUGAGCUUCGUGCUCUUUUCCUGUGGCUGAGGAUGGUAGUAAUUUCAUGCACGCCUGAAUUCUGAGUUUCUCAGAGGCAUCUGGUCACCAGCCAAAGGAUUUUGUGCAACUGGGUGCUGAGGCCAAAAUGCCAUGUCAGAGAAAAUAAAGAAAACUUCCCCUUUAAUCGCUUAUCUCUGGGAAUCAGCCAAGUCUGGGAGUAUCAGAGGUCCUUCUGUCCAUUGCCACGCAUGAGGCUGGGCUGCCCUCACCUUUCUCGGGUGGAGGACGGUCCUUUAAAAGUCCUUCAGGAGACAAGAUUCCACAUGCUCCCCCCACCAGCUCUUCCUGGCCAAGAAAGAGAAGAGCUUUUUAAGUCUGGCAAACUCCAGUUGGUAUGUCAUUGAAGGAGUGAGGAGUGUUCUCAUAUGUCAAGGGAUGCAUAGCCUGUCAACCUCCAUGGCAGGCUAAGAAAUGGGUUUGGGCAUGCAUAUGUGUGUUCCAGACAGAGCUAACCCUUACAUGGAGGUGAGUGUGGUGAUUGGUUAGGAGAGAUGCCUCUCUACACCUUCUUUCCCUUCCACACCCUCUAUGCCCCUCUGUAUUUUUAAGAAAUAAAAUACUCUUGUUAGAUGAA